rnacentral:rRNA from 1 species
CGGAUGGUGUGUGUUGUAUGCUCUUAACGGAUUGAGCAUGCUUCGAAGCUGUCCCGGGAAAUAGCCCCACCGUAUAGACCGUACCCGAAACCGACACAGGUGGUCAGGUAGAGUAUACCAAGGCGCUUGAGAGAAGUGUCCUGAAGGAACUCGGCAAAUUGCCUCCGUACCUUCGGAAGAAGGAGGCCCUCACAUUGCGCAAGCAGUAUGAGGGGGCACAGGCCAGGGGGUAGCGACUGUUUAGCAAAAACACAGGGCUCUGCUAAGUC